CUUGGUCAUUUAGAGGAAGUAAAAGUCGUAACAAGGUUUCCGUAGGUGAACCUGCGGAAGGAUCAUUAUUGAUUGGUCGAAAGACCUUAUCAGAUUCUACCACCUCUGUGAGCCGUUGACCUCCGGGUUAAUAAUCAAACAUCAGUGUAACGAACGUAAGAGUAUCUUAAUUAAACAAAACUUUUAACAACGGAUCUCUUGGCUCUCGCAUCGAUGAAGAACGCAGCGAAAUGCGAUAAGUAAUGUGAAUUGCAGAAUUCAGUGAAUCAUCGAAUCUUUGAACGCACCUUGCGCCUUUUGGUAUUCCGAAAGGCAUGCCUGUUUCAGUGUCAUGAAAUCUCAAUCUAAUAUGUUUUCUGAACAUGUUAGGCUUGGACUUGGGUGUCUGCCAGCAAUGGCUCACCUCAAAUGACUUAGUGGAACAUCCCACAUCAGUGUUAGACGUAAUAAGUUUCGUCUCUCCUUGUGGUGAUGACUGCUCAAAACCUGCCAUCGCGCACCUUUUGACUUUGACCUGAAAUCAGGUAGGGCUACCCGCUGAACUUAAGCAUAUCAAUAAGCGGAGGAAAAGAAACUAACAAGGAUUCCCCUAGUAACGGCGAGUGAACCGGGAAGAGCUCAAAUUUGAAAUCUGGCGUGCUCAGUGCGUCCGAGUUGUAAUCUAUAGGGUCGUUUUCCGUGCCGGACUGUGUCCAAGUCCCUUGGAACAGGGUAUCAAAGAGGGUGAUAAUCCCGUACUUGACACAAUGACCGGUGCUCUGUGAUACGUCUUCUACGAGUCGAGUUGUUUGGGAAU
rnacentral:sRNA from 1 species